rnacentral:rRNA from 1 species
GACGAAGGGGGCUAGCGUUGUUCGGAAUUACUGGGCGUAAAGCGCGUGUAGGCGGUUGUUCAAGUCAGGUGUGAAAGCCUUGAGCUCAACUCAAGAAAUGCACUUGAUACUGGAUGACUAGAGGACCGGAGAGGAUAGUGGAAUUCCCAGUGUAGUGGUGAAAUACGUAGAGAUUGGGAAGAACACCAGUGGCGAAGGCGGCCCACUGGGCCGGUACUGACGCUGAGGCGCGAAGGCGUGGGGAGCGAACGGG